rnacentral:rRNA from 1 species
UACGGGGGGGGCAAGCGUUGUUCGGAAUUACUGGGCGUAAAGGGCUCGUAGGCGGCCAACUAAGUCGGAUGUGAAAUCCCCAGGCUCAACUUGGGAACUGCAUCCGAUACUGGAUGGCUUGAAUCCGGGGGAGGGAUGCGGAAUUCCAGGUGUAGCGGUGAAAUGCGUAGAUAUCUGGAGGAACACCGGUGGCGAAGGCGGCAUCCUGGACCGGCAUUGACGCUGAGGCGCGAAAGCCAGGGGAGCAAACGGG